GAUGACCUAGUGGUCAGAGCGUCCGCCUCAGAUGCGGGAGGUCGUAGGUUCUAACCCCGACCUAGUCA